rnacentral:rRNA from 1 species
GAACGCUGGCGGCAUGCCUUACACAUGCAAGUCGAACGGCAGCACGGGAGCAAUCCUGGUGGCGAGUGGCGAACGGGUGAGUAAUAUAUCGGAACGUGCCCAGUCGUGGGGAUAACGUAGCGAAAGCUACGCUAAUACCGCAUACGAUCUAUGGAUGAAAGCGGGGGAUCGCAAGACCUCGCGCGAUUGGAGCGGCCGAUAUCAGAUUAGGUAGUUGGUGAGGUAAAGGCUCACCAAGCCGACGAUCUGUAGCUGGCCUGAGAGGACGACCAGCCACACUGGGACUGAGACACGGCCCAGACUCCUACGGGAGGCAGCAGUGGGGAAUUUUGGACAAUGGGCGCAAGCCUGAUCCAGCAAUGCCGCGUGCAGGAUGAAGGCCUUCGGGUUGUAAACUGCUUUUGUACGGAACGAAACGGUGAGCUCUAAUACAGUUUGCUAAUGACGGUACCGUAAGAAUAAGCACCGGCUAACUACGUG